CUUGACCUGAGAGUCGAAGCCAGAGGAAGAUUUUGAUGUUAUUUAGGGGUCUGAUUUAUUGUACACACUUAACAUUAACCUUCCAUGACGUACACGUAAAAAUAAUGUGAACGUCCGGUUAUUUAGUUUUGAUUUGACAGCUGUAACGAGGAUCUGGAAUUUCACAUCUGCACUCUAGCUGCUGUUGUGUUUAUCUGUAUUUGUUGCUAGGGUGGAACAGAAAGAGGAUGUUAUUAUCAUACUACAAGAUGAAUCUAUUCUCUCUCCUAUAUGAUACAUUCUGCACAUGGACAUCAUACUAGCCUCACCCAAAACCAGCCAGUGGUAUAAAAUGAUUCAAAGGGGGAAAUCUGCACUGUUGGAGAUAUGUAUGUAUUCACAGUGAAUGUAAGUGAGUUUGCACCAGAAGAAGUCACUGUAACCUCCACCAAUAAUUCAAUCCAAGUAUGUGCAGAAAAGCUGGCAUCAGAUGGCACAAUUGUGGACACUGUUUGUCAGAAGUGCCAGUUCCCUGCUGAUGUGGAUCCAAUGUCGGUCACAUCUUCUCUAGAGAAAGGUGGCUUGUUGAGUAUAAAAGCCCAAAAACUAACAGUAAAAGGGUCUGCAAUCAUAGAUUCAAUCUAAGAAGUGAAAACCUAAUGUAUGUAUGUAUGAGCAUUUUGGAAACAAUCUGUUUUCUCAUUAUUGUACUCUAAAUGUCAUCCUUUGGAUUAUUAAACAAAAACAAAUGUUACAAUUUGUAUUUGCAUGUUAAUAAGGUUUUUGACUUCGAAAUAAAUGAGGUUCAUGAGUAUAUGCAUAUAAAAAUGUUUUUGUUGCAACUGUCUUCAAAGUACAAGCAAACUCAUUUCAUGACAUUUUUAUAUUUUUGUUCACCAUUUC